rnacentral:rRNA from 1 species
UACGUAGGUGACAAGCGUUGUCCGGAAUUAUUGGGCGUAAAGAGCGCGCAGGCGGUCGUUCAAGUCGCGUGUGAAAGCCCCCGGCUCAACUGGGGAGGGUCACGCGAUACUGAUCGACUCGAAGGCAGGAGAGGGAAGUGGAAUUCCCGGUGUAGUGGUGAAAUGCGUAGAUAUCGGGAGGAACACCAGUGGCGAAGGCGACUUCCUGGCCUGUUCUUGACGCUGAGGCGCGAAAGCUAGGGGAGCAAACGGG